UACGUAGGGGGCAAGCGUUGUCCGGAAUUAUUGGGCGUAAAGAGCGUGUAGGCGGUCCGGUAAGUCAGCUGUGAAAUCCCCAGGCUCAACCUGGGAACUGCGUCUGAUACUGGAUGGCUUGAGUUCGGGAGAGGGAAGUGGAAUUCCAGGUGUAGCGGUGAAAUGCGUAGAUAUCUGGAGGAACACCGGUGGCGAAGGCGGCUUCCUGGACCGACACUGACGCUGAGGCGCGAAAGCCAGGGGAGCAAACGGG
rnacentral:rRNA from 1 species